CCUACGGGAGGCUGCAGUAGGGAAUCUUCCACAAUGGGCGCAAGCCUGAUGGAGCAACACCGCGUGAGUGAAGAAGGGUUUCGGCUCGUAAAGCUCUGUUGUUGGAGAAGAACGUGCGUGAGAGUAACUGUUCACGCAGUGACGGUAUCCAACCAGAAAGUCACGGCUAACUACGUGCCAGCCGCCGCGGUAAUACGUAGGUGGCAAGCGUUAUCCGGAUUUAUUGGGCGUAAAGCGAGCGCAGGCGGUUGCUUAGGUCUGAUGGGAAAGCCUUCGGCUUAACCGAAGAAGUGCAUCGGAAACCGGGCAACUAGAGUGCAGAAGAGGACAGUGGAACUCCAUGUGUAGCGGUGGAAUGCGUAGGUAUAUGGAAGAACACCAGUGGCGAAGGCGGCUGUCUGGUCUGCAACUGACGCUGAGGCUCGAAAGCAUGGGUAGCAAACAGGAUUAGAUACCCCAGUAGUC
rnacentral:rRNA from 1 species